rnacentral:tRNA from 1 species
UCCCCGGUAGCUCAAUGGUGGAGCAUGCGACUGUUAAUCGCAGGGCUGGUGGUUCGAGUCCACCCCGGGGAG